UGGGGAAUAUUGCACAAUGGGCGCAAGCCUGAUGCAGCCAUGCCGCGUGUGUGAAGAAGGCCUUCGGGUUGUAAAGCACUUUCAGCGGGGAGGAAGGCGAUAAGGUUAAUAACCUUGUCGAUUGACGUUACCCGCAGAAGAAGCACCGGCUAACUCCGUGCCAGCAGCCGCGGUAAUACGGAGGGUGCAAGCGUUAAUCGGAAUUACUGGGCGUAAAGCGCACGCAGGCGGUCUGUCAAGUCGGAUGUGAAAUCCCCGGGCUCAACCUGGGAACUGCAUUCGAAACUGGCAGGCUAGAGUCUUGUAGAGGGGGGUAGAAUUCCAGGUGUAGCGGUGAAAUGCGUAGAGAUCUGGAGGCAUACCGGUGGCGAAAGCGGCCCCCUGGACAAAGACUGACGCUCAGGUGCGAAAGCGUGGGGAGCAAACAGG
rnacentral:rRNA from 1 species